UUGACACCCGGGAAGAGUAUGAGAUGAAG
rnacentral:piRNA from 1 species